AGCUGGCUACAUUUACUUAGGACACUGGGAUGCCAUUCUCUGACAAUUUAUAAAACACAUUUCAGAUUAUUUGUGGGGAAAAACGUGUACAUAUGCACAUGUGACAUGCUCCACAAAAGUGUGAAGAGUCUUACCUGGUUAUUCUUCACUACAAAUUAGUGUUGUGUAAAGUUCUGCUUCUCCUGAAUUUUUGAAGGAGUUUGGCCACCACAAGGCCUGGAGAAAGGGAGGAUCUUCAGCUCCAUCAUGUGAACUUUGCAGCCAAACCCACCGUGGACCUCACCAUCCUCAAACAGGUUUUCCUGUUUAUGAGGUAGGAGGUCCAAGAGUGAUUGUUCAGCCUGCAGAACCAAGUCACCUCCUGGCUAACCUGCUGAUCACAGCUUUGAGUCUUCCAGCAGAAGGUUUUCCAUCACUUUUCAACUUCAGAGUAUAUGAAAACCAAUGAGGUGGGGGAGAGACAAAACCCAAAACAUUGCUUGUUUUUUCAUGCUAUUUGUUAAAGCUGCUGGUCCUGGAUUCUCUUUGACAUCUUCCACAUUUCUCUUUGUUUUGUCACCUGGCUGUAAAUAACACAAUAAUACACUUUCCUGGCCCUUAGGAAGGCAGUGCUCUCCCACUUGUCUUGUACAAUGGACUUGAGAGGAGCUUUCCUGGCAGCCCCUUGAAGAGCUUUAAAUUGAAACAUCCUUUAGUGUGGAGUGGUAAUCAAAAUGCUUGUGUGCCGUAUGGGAGAGGAGAAGGAAGCGUUUUUCAGCUUUAUGGCACAGAGUUUUUCCCAUUGUUGUAAGAGUUCCUUCAUUAAAGAAGCUACCUUAAAUUGCCACAGAGGUCCCAAAGAAAUUCUAACAAACCUUUGCUUUUGGAGAGCAGCAUUUGGAUCAGCUGUAACUGUAAUUGUACCCUGUUGUCACAGGUUCUCUGUGACUUUGCUUUGAGAGUUC